CUUAAACUCUUAAACUUAAGCUGUAUAUUAAUAAUAUACAGCUAUUUUAAGGUUGUAGUGUAAAUUUUGUUUUGUUUAUGUUUUAUUUAUUUUCCCAUUUCCCACUGGCAUAAAAAAGUGAGGUUAUUCUUCUUCUCCACUCAACCCGUAUUUGAUGUUCGCACUUCGCACAGACGGUUUCAAAUCGAUCAGAAGUUGUAAUAUUUUACGCAUGCGCAUCAAGAAUGGUUUGGAAACAGUUUCAAACUUAUAAGAAAUUUGCAGUGAGAACAAACCUUAUGUCGACUGAUGUUGUCAGUAAUAAUAUUGAGAUAGGAUCUCAGUUUGAAAGCUAUGAGGAAGUUCAGAAGGCAAUUGAUGAGUAUUCAAAAAGAAAUUUAUCAUUUUAUGGAAACGGGAUGCCAGGACAAUUCAGUCAAGUAAAGUUAAGCGUUUUUUAAGUGAUAAACUUAUUUAUUAUGAACUAAAAUAUGCUUGUGUACAUGAAGGUAGAGGUUUUGUUUCUUGUAGCAAGGGCAUACGUGAAUCGUCGUAAGUACCUAUGUAUAUUUAGUAUUUAUCCCCAUACUUCAUAAUAUUUUUUGUAAUUGCAAUGAAUAGAAUCCAUUAAUAAUAAUGAUCUAUGUUGUAGAACAUAUAGAAAGGAGUGUCCCUUUUUUAUCAGAUUUAGGGCUUCCAAAAAUGGAAAAAGUUUAGAAGUAAUAGCCAUGAACAAUGAACACAACCAUACAAUUUCAAAGGAAUAUUAUGCCCACUACCCAGUUCAAAGACAAAUGCCUGAAGAUAUGAAAAAUAUUACAAAAGAGUUAUUAGUACUAAAGGCAAAUAAAAAACUUGUUAAAGAAAAAAUGAUAGAAAAAACUGGAAAAGUAAUUUAAUGAAAGACGCGUCUAAUUUGGCAUCAGUUAAAAAUGUGAAGAGGGAUAAUUUGGCCUACUGCAUUAAGCUAAUACAGGAUAAAUAUGAGUGUGGAGUUUCUGUUCUAAAAGAUGAUGAUUCAAAUUUCCAAGCACUGUUUGCCCAAACUUCUUAUAUGAAAAAUAUUUUUGAAUAUUUUCCCGAAUUUAUAGCAAUUGAUGCUACAUACAACCUCUUAAAUAUAGGUAUUCCAGUUUAUUUAAUGCUAGUAGAAGAUGACCAGUGUCAAAGUCAGAUAGUGGGCAUGUGCUUAAUGGUUUCGGAAAGUAAAGAAAAUAUUAGUUGGUUUUUGAGCACUUUUAAACAACUUAACGGGAAAGCCACAGAAACUAGAUGUAUUAUUACAGAUAAAGAUAUGACCGAGCGAAAUGUAAUUAAGCAAUUGUUUCCUAAAGUUUUAUUAAUUUUAUGUAUUUUUCACACAAUGAGAAGCUUCCGUCGUGAAAUAAUGUAUGAAAAAAUGGGUAUAACUGAAAGUCAAAAAAACCUAUGUUUAGAGUAUUUUCAAAAUUUAGAUUAUACCAAAUCUGAAGAAGAUUUUACAAAAACCCUGGAUAGCUUUAAGGAAAUUGCACCAAAAGUGGUCUUAAGCUAUUAUAUGAAAAAUUGGCAUGAUAUUAAGCAUCAGUGGUCAAUGCAUAAAGAAUUCUGCAAAAAUAAUUUUCUUAAUAAUACUAAUAACAGAUUGUCUAUCAAUUAACGGUAAAAUAAAAUAUGUUAUUCAAGAAAUAGCAGCCUUGAAGACGUUUUCAUAGGAUUCUUUAAAAUAACAUCUAGUAUGAAUUCCGAACGCGCCCAUAAGUUCAUAUAUAGUGAAUUAAAACGGACUGUCACUAAAUUUGAAGCUGACAGUGUUGAAGCUCAAUAUUUAAAACUAUUGACAAAAGAACCUGGAAAACAAUUAAUCAAACAGCUAGAAUUUUCACGAAAGGUAAAAGAUAUACAACAGGAUUUAGCACUUCAUAAUUCCUUUUUAAUAAAAUCUUCAGAAGGGACGAUUAAUACGGACAUUUAUAAGUGCUCUUGUUCAUACAGGGUGGCCAUUUAAAAACGAAACAGAGCCUAUUUUGGGUCCCUCAGA